rnacentral:piRNA from 1 species
UGCACAGUAUCCCUUUACAGAUGGUUGUGAG